rfam:Phytophthora infestans T30-4 supercont1.28 genomic scaffold, whole genome shotgun sequence.
GGCCUCGUGGUCUAGUGGUAUGAUUCUCGCUUCGGGUGCGAGAGGUCCCGGGCUCAAUUCCCGGUGAGGCCC